GGGUUGGCUCUUGUACUGCCUUCUUCUUCCGUUCUUCAACCUCCAAGGAUCUAACCGACUUUCUUCUCUAUGGCAAUCUCAUUUUGGGGGCCAUAUCCCAAGGAGAGGAUGGAUAAUGGUCAAGAGGGUAGAAAAGGAUGAGGAUUGAAGAGAAACUAAGAGGAGAAGAGGAUUUUGGAGAGUUUCUCAUAGAUUUUAUGGGUUAGGGUUUGGAAUUGGGGGAAAUC
rnacentral:lncRNA from 1 species